GCAGUCAGGCGCGUAGCAAGCCAUUUUUUUCCUGUAAGCCCGAUAGGUAUCAGGGCUUUAUAUUUAGAUGGUAUUUAGGACUUGUCCAACCUUUUUAGCAACAAUCAUGUAUAAGCCCGGGCCUUUUUUAUAAUGGUAGCUGCCCCCCUGGCAGUGUAUGAAAUAAGCCAAGAACCCACCCACACAUCAGGGCUGUUAACUUUUAAAAUGUUACCAGCCCAAAAUGGAUUUAACCAGACCAGACAACAAGAUAUUGUGAAUAUAC